rnacentral:rRNA from 1 species
CUAAAGAUGGCGACCGGCGCACGGGUGAGUAACACGUAUCCAACCUGCCGAUAACUCGGGGAUAGCCUUUCGAAAGAAAGAUUAAUAUCCGAUAGUAUAUUCUCUCCGCAUGGCGAGAAUAUUAAAGAAUUUCGGUUAUCGAUGGGGAUGCGUUCCAUUAGUUUGUUGGCGGGGUAACGGCCCACCAAGACUACGAUGGAUAGGGGUUCUGAGAGGAAGGUCCCCCACAUUGGAACUGAGACACGGUCCAA